GCCUGUGUAGCUCCAAUUGGCUAGAGCGUUGGUCUUGUAAACCAAAGGUUCGUUGUUCGAAUCAGCGUACAGGCA